rnacentral:rRNA from 1 species
UACCAGCACCCCCGAGUGGUCGGGACGAUUAUUGGGCCUAAAGCAUCCGUAGCCGGUCCUACAAGUCUUCCGUUAAAUCCACCUGCUUAACAGAUGGGCUGCGGAAGAUACUAUAGGGCUAGGAGGCGGGAGAGGCAAGCGGUACUCAGUGGGUAGGGGUAAAAUCCUCUGAUCCAUUGAAGACCACCAGUGGCGAAGGCGGCUUGCCAGAACGCGCUCGACGGUGAGGGAUGAAAGCUGGGGGAGCAAACCGG